rnacentral:misc_RNA from 1 species
UUCAAUUUCGGCUGGAAACAUGUGCCUUAAAUGGAAAAACAAUCCAUAAAUAAGGCACAUGUUUCCAGCCGAAAUUGAAACCACGUCUGUCACAUUACCCGUCCAAGAAUAGUCCACAUGAGAUCACAUGAGAUUAAAACAAAAACAUAUUUCUUUAGCAUCUUCUCCUCCCCUAACAAACUCCUAAUCCAAUCGCUAAUUACAAAUUACAGAGCUCGUUAACCCUGUCAUCUAUUCCCACUUGGCGAGGGAUACAAACCCCCAACUUAUCCACAGGAUUAAAGACCACAGGAACAGACCAACAGCUUAUAAGCUAUAGCUGCCAAACCACCCCCCCUUUAUAUAUGCACGCUAGAAAGCACCUCAUCCAUAGCCAUCCACAGCUACACUCAUCCCACCAACGCAAAUGUAUAUCAUUGUUG